UUCACCAAGGUCAACAUUUAACCUUUGCUUCUAGCCUUGCUUUGUAUAUAUGGAUAUUCAUAUCCAUAUCGACCUUUUCUUUUGUAAACUAUUUACAAAAGCUUAUGGGCUUUAUUCCAUUAGGAGGCUUGACCAAGGUCCAAACCUUGUUCACUUGCGUCGAGUAUCAUCUCGAGUUUCAUGGCCUCUUGCUGUCUCUUUUAAGUCAACACUUGACUUUAUUUUGUUACAACUAGCAGGUUCAUUAUCCUGGAUCACUGAUUAAUGAUUCGCACCUUCUUGAAGGUCG
rnacentral:lncRNA from 1 species